AGCAUGACUCAUGAUCCGUUCUUCUGAUUUGAUUUGAUUUGUUUUUUUGUGUGUGCGCAGGCAUCCCUUCCGGCGACGGAGGAGAGAUCCGGAAUCACCUGGACUAAGCAGUUGAACGCGCCGCUGGAAGAGGUCGACCCUGAGAUUGCUGACAUCAUCGAGCACGAGAAGGUCCGCCAAUGGAAGGGUCUGGAGCUCAUCCCGUCGAAGAAUUUCACGUCUGUGUCAGUGAUGCAGGCAGUAGGUUCCGUCAUGACCAACAAGUACAGCAAGGGAUACCCUGGUGCAAGAUACUACGGGGGAAAUGAGUUUAUUGAUAUGGCAGAAUCCUUGUGUCAAAAACGUGCUUUGGAGGCUUUCCGUUUGGACCCGACGAAGUGGGGAGGUAAAAUCUUGUAUAGUCUAGCAGCAAUAUCUA